GACGAACGCUGGCGGCGUGCCUAAUACAUGCAAGUCGAACGCUUCUUUCCUCCCGAGUGCUUGCACUCAAUUGGAAAGAGGAGUGGCGGACGGGUGAGUAACACGUGGGUAACCUACCCAUCAGAGGGGGAUAACACUUGGAAACAGGUGCUAAUACCGCAUAACAGUUUAUGCCGCAUGGCAUAAGAGUGAAAGGCGCUUUCGGGUGUCGCUGAUGGAUGGACCCGCGGUGCAUUAGCUAGUUGGUGAGGUAACGGCUCACCAAGGCCACGAUGCAUAGCCGACCUGAGAGGGUGAUCGGCCACACUGGGACUGAGACACGGCCCAGACUCCUACGGGAGGCAGCAGUAGGGAAUCUUCGGCAAAGGACGAAAGUCUGACCGAGCAACGCCGCGUGAGUGAAGAAGGUUUUCGGAUCGUAAAACUCUGUUGUUAGAGAAGAACAAGGACGUUAGUAACUGAACGUCCCCUGACGGUAUCUAACCAGAAAGCCACGGCUAACUACGUG
rnacentral:rRNA from 1 species